GUCCUGGUCCUGCCUCCAUGCCCAGGGACCCUGUGAUCCUCAGAUGUGAAGAUGGGGUAUUCUCAGUGAUCCUGACUGUUGGGAGUCGCCCCAGCUCCAAAGACUAACAUCCCCAUCCCCCAGAAGAGCCUUUCAAUGGUGAGCCCUGCUGGCUCACAAGAUCCUUACCCACCAAUCAGACUAUCCCUGCUGACUCACAUGAUCCUUAUCCACCAAUCAGAAAGCAUCCCGUGCCAACCGUCAAACCAUUAAACAGUUA
rnacentral:lncRNA from 1 species